rnacentral:rRNA from 1 species
GGGGUAUAUGUCUUCGGAUAUAGAGACCGGCGCACGGGUGCGUAACGCGUAUGCAAUCUACCUUUCACAGAGGGAUAGCCCAGAGAAAUUUGGAUUAAUACCUCAUAGUAUUACGACUCGGCAUCGAGAUGUAAUUAAAGUCACAACGGUGAAAGAUGAGCAUGCGUCCCAUUAGCUAGUUGGUAAGGUAACGGCUUACCAAGGCAACGAUGGGUAGGGGUCCUGAGAGGGAGAUCCCCCACACUGGUACUGAGACACGGACCAGACUCCUACGGGAGGCAGCAGUGAGGAAUAUUGGUCAAUGGACGCAAGUCUGAACCAGCCAUGCCGCGUGCAGGAUGACGGUCCUAUGGAUUUGUAACUGCUUUUGUACG